rnacentral:lncRNA from 1 species
AGUGCGUCCCCUCUCCGCGGGAUCGUCGCCAUGGUCCUGCGAUCCUAGGAGUCGGGCAAGGCCGAACCUGCCUGAAGAAACCUCAAGCGGAGAUUCAAGGAAGCACCACGUGAUCCCUAAGGAUCCCAAAGAUGCGUCGGGCAUGCAUGGGCGGUGUGAGGGUGCGUCUCCCUGACAGGUGUCCCCGCUGGGAUUUCGAGAAAGAAGACCAGCACACGACAACCAAGAACAAAUUCCUCCAGGGGCCCAUGGUCCUGCGGCACACCCAAGGCUGGACGGACC